rfam:Fusarium verticillioides 7600 chromosome 6, whole genome shotgun sequence.
GGCCGCGUGGCCUAAUGGCUAAGGCGCUAGAUUUCGGUCUCCCUCUUCUGAACUCUCUAGAGAUUCCAGGUUCGACUCCUGGCGUGGUCG